GAUGAACGCUAGCGGGAGGCCUAAUACAUGCAAGUCGAACGGUAACAGGUAGCAAUACGCUGACGAGUGGCGCACGGGUGAGUAACACGUACACAACCUGCCUAUGACUGGGGCAUAACUUCGGGAAACUGAAGCUAAUUCCCCAUAACACUGCAGAAAGGCAUCUUUCAACAGUUAAAGCCCCGGCGGUCAUAGAUGGGUGUGCGUUUGAUUAGCUAGUUGGUAAGGUAACGGCUUACCAAGGCUACGAUCAAUAACUGGUCUGAGAGGAUGAUCAGUCACACGGGCACUGAGACACGGGCCCGACUCCUACGGGAGGCAGCAGUAGGGAAUAUUGGACAAUGGAGGCAACUCUGAUCCAGCCAUCCCGCGUGAAGGAUUAAGGCCCUAUGGGUUGUAAACUUCUUUUCUCUGGGAAUAAAAACCGGGAUUUAUCCUGGCUUGAAGGUACCAGAGGAAUAAGCACCGGCUAACUCCGUGCCAGCAGCCGCGGUAAAAC
rnacentral:rRNA from 1 species